ensembl:lncRNA
GGCAGGUAGCCUAGUGGUUAGAGUGUAGAGGUGGCAGGGUAGCCUAGUGGUUAGAGUGUAGAGUGGCAGGGUAGCCUAGUGGUUAGAGUGUAGGGGUGGCAGGUAGCCUAGUGGUUAGAGUGUAGGGGUGGCAGGGUAGCCUAGUGGUUAGAGCGUAGAGGUGGCAGGUAGCCUAGUGGUUAGAGCGUAGAGGUGGCAGGUAGCCUAGUGGUUAGAGCGUAGAGGUGGCAGGUAGCCUAGUGGUUAGAGUGUAGAGGUGGCAGGUAGCCUAGUGGUUAGAGUGUAGAGGUGGCAGGGUAGCCUAGUGGUUAGAGCGUAGAGGUGGCAGGUAGCCUAGUGGUUAGAGCGUAGAGGUGGCAGGGAGCCUAGUGGUUAGAGUGUUG